GUAGGGAAUCUUCCGCAAUGGACGAAAGUCUGACGGAGCAACGCCGCGUGAGUGAUGAAGGUCUUCGGAUUGUAAAGCUCUGUUAAUCGGGACGAAAGAGCCUAGUGUGAAUAAUGCUAGGAAGUGACGGUACCGGAAUAGAAAGCCACGGCUAACUACGUGCCAGCAGCCGCGGUAAUACGUAGGUGGCAAGCGUUGUCCGGAAUUAUUGGGCGUAAAGCGCGCGCAGGCGGAUCUGCCAGUCUGUCUUAAAAGUUCGGGGCUUAACCCCGUGAUGGGAUGGAAACUACAGAUCUAGAGUAUCGGAGAGGAAAGUGGAAUUCCUAGUGUAGCGGUGAAAUGCGUAGAUAUUAGGAAGAACACCAGUGGCGAAGGCGACUUUCUGGACGAAAACUGACGCUGAGGCGCGAAAGCCAGGGGAGCGAACGGGAUUAGAAACCCCGGUAGUCC
rnacentral:rRNA from 1 species